rnacentral:rRNA from 1 species
AACUAACGCUGGCGGCAGGCUUAACACAUGCAAGUCGAGCGCCCCGCAAGGGGAGCGGCAGACGGGUGAGUAACGCGUGGGAACGUACCCUUUGCUACGGAAUAGCUCCGGGAAACUGGAAUUAAUACCGUAUGUGCCCUACGGGGGAAAGAUUUAUCGGCAAAGGAUCGGCCCGCGGUGGAUUAGCUAGUUGGUGGGGUAAUGGACUACCAAGGCGACGCUCCAUAGCUGGUCUGAGAGGAUGAUCAGCCACAUUGGGACUGAGACACGGCCCAAACUCCUACGGGAGGCAGCAGUGGGGAAUAUUGGACAGUGGGCGCAAGCCUGAUCCAGCCAUGCCGCGUGAGUGAUGAAGGCCUUAGGGUUGUAAAGCUCUUUCACCGGAGAAGAUAAUGACGGUAUCCGGAGAAGAAGCCCCGGCUAACUUCGUGCCAGCCGCCGCCGUAAAAC